rnacentral:lncRNA from 1 species
UGGAGGGCUACUCCAUCCGCAUGGCCGCAACCCAACAUGGCAUUUACCUCAAAAGACCCAGUGACUGCUCCCAAAAGCAGUGUGGACGGAUUGUGGGAAGACACAGCAUGAUGGAGCUCCUGAAAGGGACAAAGGGAGUCAUGGUGGAACAAUACCAGUAAAGGGCUAAAAAACUCCCAUGUGUUCCUCCGAAUGGGAGUCGUAGGUAGCCAUGGUUUCAGAGCGCACAGCUGUGGGAAGAAGCUAGAAGCUGAUGAGAAGCAGGCGGGGAAGACAAGCUCUGUGGGUGAGACUUAGCAUCAGCAGGAUCCUGCUGCAAGGACCACCCUCUAGCCGGAGGCUGCCUGGGACCCCACAAGGAGAGCCUGUGCCCCUAACCAGGCUCCAGGCUGUUGGGAGAUGCCUCUGAACUGAGACCCCCAAGCUGUUUGCCUCCCUUGGUGGCCCUUCAGCAGACAAAGCCCUCAUUAAGAUUUCUUUCAGCUUCUGUCUUCUUGGAACACCUGAGACAAGAGAAUGAUGAAUGGCAGCCUGGAGAUCAGCCUGGAGCCACACCUUGCCCUUUGAGUAGCCUCUCCCAUGACAAUCAACACUUUUCUAGAGCCUGC